AAACCACGAUAGGUCACGAUUUCUGGAAUGGAUCAUGGCCUAAAUCUACAUGGCCCCUGGAUUGGACUGCGGCCGAUCAGGCAGUUGGUGAGGUAAUGGCCCACCAAACCUAUAACCGGUACGGGCUCUGAGAGGAGAAGCCCGGAGAUGGGCACUGAGACAAGGGCCCAGGCCCUAUGGGGCGCAGCAGGCGCGAAACCUCUGCAAUAGGCGAAAGCCUGACAGGGUUACUCUGAGUGAUUUCCGCUAAGGGGAUCUUUUGGCACCUCUAAAAAUGGUGCAGAAUAAGGGGUGGGCAAGUCUGGUGUCAGCCGCCGCGGUAAUACCAGCACCCCGAGUGGUCGGGACGAUUAUUGGGCCUAAAGCAUCCGUAGCCGGUUCUGCAAGUCUUCCGUUAAAUCCAGCCGCUCAACGGAUGGGCCGCGGAGGAUACUACAGGACUAGGAGGCGGGAGAGGCAAGCGGUACUCAGUGGGUAGGGGUAAAAUCCUUUGAUCCAUUGAAGACCACCAGUGGCGAAGGCGGCUUGCCAGAACGCGCUCGACGGUGAGGGAUGAAAGCUGGGGGAGCAAACCGGAUUAGAUACCCGGGUAGUCCCAGCUGUAAACGAUGCAGACUCGGUGAUGGGCUAGCCUUGUGCCAGCCCAGUGCCGC
rnacentral:rRNA from 1 species